rnacentral:rRNA from 1 species
CCUACGGGAGGCAGCAGUGGGGGAUAUUGGACAAUGGGGGGAACCCUGAUCCAGCGACGCCGCGUGAGUGAAGAAGUAUUUCGGUAUGUAAAGCUCUGUCGGCAGGGAAGAAAGAGAUGACGGUACCUGAACAAGAAGCGCCGGCUAACUACGUGCCAGCAGCCGCGGUAAUAAGUAGGGGGCAAGCGUUAUCCGGAAUUACUGGGUGUAAAGGGAGCGGAGACGGUUAAGUAAGUCUGGAGUGAAAGGCCGGGGCCCAACCCCGGGACUGCUUUUGAAACUAUUGAACUAGAGUGCAGGAGAGGUAAGCGGAAUUCCUAGUGUAGGGGUGAAAUGCGUAGAUAUUAGGAGGAACACCAGUGGCGAAGGCGGCUUACUGGACCGUAACUGACGUUGAGGCUCGAAAGCGUGGGGAGCAAACAGGAUUAGAUACCCGGGUAGUC